CCACCAUGCAGACAUGCCAUUCUCCCCCAGUAGUCUGAAUACAGGUUUGUUGAGGAAAACAGUUCCCCAGCCAUGUAGACUCCAUACAUGCAUAUAUGAUUAACAACAAUUUCUGGGUAGGGAUCCAGAAAACACAGGAGAUCUAUCUGCCUGCGUUAAUUAAUGUGAUGUAGAAGCAGCAAACUAGUACAUCCUUUAUGAUUCUCCCCCAGCAAUAAGGGAAUAGCAGCACAGGCCACUUGGAGAUUACCGGUUCGUGAAUCAUCUUCAGUGGUAUUUUGAAUUUUCUUUUUUUUUUAAUGUCACUUCUGUAUGAGCCAUAUCUGUUCUAUUUUCCUUCCUGCCAGACGUACUUUGCUCUGUUUCAAUAUUCUUUAAAGUCACACGUAAUCAUGAACAUGAAGAGCUCCAUGCAUGGGCUGAUGUGACUUUUUGCAGAUGGUUCUUGAAGGGAGCAGAAACCCUGUUAUGUUUGGGAGAAUGCACAGCAAGUUGUUAGGCAUUCCUGUUUCCCGUAAUACCGGUGGCAUGUGGGAAGUGCACUGAGCCAGCUGCUCCAAAAUGCUGCCAGCAGAUAAAAAGCCCAUUUGUCUCCAGGAAGCGCGGUGAGAUGGGGGAAGACAUCCUGCAGCAAAUAUGUCAGGUCUGUGAUGUUUGUCUAAUAUUCUUGUAAAUGAUUCACUGUACCAAAGUCUGGUUUCCAUUAGCUGCUGGGAUCAGGUUAGCAUUGUUCCUCCCAGUUGCUGUUUGCAUGUUUCCCCUUCUGCAGCAGUGUGUUUAGACAAUAGAAAAAUGCAGAUAAAUGGCAAGUCAAAGAGACUGCAAGUCAGAUAAAUUGUAAUGGAUGUAAUUGAAGAAUGUUUCUCUUUCAUUUUUCUUGUUGAUGGUAGCUAUGGGAAAGCAAGCUGGAGCCAGGAAGUAGUGGAUUUCUUUUGACUCACACAGAUUUUUUUUUCUUUUGGAACAGAAAACCCAACUUUUGGAGGUACCUUUCUCCAUUGGUUAUGCGUGCAGUGACAGAGAAGAUUGCAGAAAAAGAUUUGGAAGACAUGGAAGAAUAUCAAGUCAAGAUUACAGAAGCUGGCAAAAGCCAGUGUGUUGAUCCAGCUGUGACUGAUUGCUGGUAUUAUCUUUCAAGAGUCACACACUGGGAUAGUGCUGAAGGACGGCUGGGGUGACCACAGAAAUUAAUUUGGUUUAAUGCAGGUAUGAUCAACCUUCUGAAAAACACAAACCACCUCCUUCUUUUGCAGCAGAACGUCAGAAGAGCAGCAGUGACCUCACUGAAAGGCAACCUCCUGAACCUUUCAGCCAACCCUUUGGCCAGAACAAAGCUGACCUGGCUGUCAGCUCCCUGCACCGGGGAAGGACCCUGGUGAGUGUCAGGACAUGAGCAAGCUGCUUUUGCACUGUGAAACAGCCGCUUGCUUCCCAACGCUCUCUUGGGAAUGAAGAGAUUAAUUGCUCUUAUUUUAUACUUUAGAUAGAUAAAAAAAUCUUGUUUCGAAAAGCUUUUUUUUUUUUAACUAAGCACGGAGGCCUGUAGGCUGCAGCUACAUAUAGUCACGUUAAUUACCCCUUAUGCACCACAGGGGCCUGGCUAGUGGGGGAUCUUGCUUCAUUAUUCAUGCCUACAUUCACGCCUCACUUGUUUGCCAAGUUGUGUGCUUGUCCAUACAAUCCCUAAACAUUUGCUGCAUGCAUUGGGAUCCAAUUUUGUAACAGCUCCAGCCCCCACCAGGCUUGUGCUUUACUACCCCAUGGAUAAGAAGUA